rnacentral:rRNA from 1 species
UACGGGAGGCAGCAGUGGGGAAUAUUGCACAAUGGGCGAAAGCCUGAUGCAGCUAUGCCGCGUGUAUGAAGAAGGCCUUAGGGUUGUAAAGUACUUUCAUCGGGGAGGAAAAAAACAAAACUAAUAAUUUUAUUUCUUGACGUUACCCGAAAAAGAAGCACCGGCUAACUCCGUGCCAGCAGCCGCGGUAAUACGGAGGGUGCUAGCGUUAAUCAGAAUUACUGGGCGUAAAGAGCACGUAGGUGGUUUUUUAAAGUCAGAUGUGAAAUCCCUGGGCUUAACCUAGGAACUGCAUUUUGAAACUGAAAUACUAGAGUAUCGUAGAGGGAGGUAGAAUUCUAGGUGUAGCGGUGAAAUGCGUAGAUAUCUGGAGGAAUACCUGUGGCGAAAGCGGCCUCCUAAACGAAUACUGACACUGAGGGUGCGAAAAGCGUGGGGAGCAAAACAGGGAUUAGAUACC